GAUAUCGCGCCACUGCAGUCCAGCCUGGCAACAGAGCGAGACUCCGGCUCAAAGAAAAGAAAAAAAUGUGCAUACAGUAUCUUUCUUUGACAUUGGAAACUACUGGAGGAUGUGGUGCACCGGAAUAAGAGAAUAAACCAAGAAACAGGAAGACGUGAUCCAGGCAACAGGAUAUUCCAGUAUAGGUGAGAAAUAAAGUCUCCAGGAUGAUAAUGAAGGGAAAUCCUAGGGUGAUAGCUGGCCUGGCAGCAGGCCUAGGGAGCAAUCAGUAAGGCUAGAGCCAGAGGACAGAAGCCUCCAGGAGGGAGGUACCCAAGAAAUAAGAUGAAAUGAAUACAGGAAAAAUCUAUAGUUUUAGUGAAUGAUGGAGAAUAAAUUCAUGAUUGGUACAUAGAAACUAAGCAAAUAAAUCCCAAUUUUGUUUUUAUGUAUAAUUGACUCUAUGAAAUUUUUUUAACAAAGAAACAAAACAUAAUCAUAGUAGGCUAAAUUGCCCAGUGGUGAAUAAUAUUUACAGAGGCAUAAACGAGUAUGUCAAUUUCCACCAAGCCCAGCAUAACAUGGGCUUUCCUCUUUAUGGUCCAAGAUGGCUACUUCCUUUCCAACCACCCUGCCUGCACUCCAGCCAGCAUGAGUCCUCUUUGUUCCAGCUAUCCUGGGUUUCUUUUGGUUAACUGGGAAUUGAAUUAAUGAAAUUCAAUUAGUAAAUUAAAGCGUUAAGUUAAUACAUGUUUGAAUUAAAA